UCCACACUGGGACUGAGACACGGCCCAGACUCCUACGGGAGGCAGCAGUGGGGAAUAUUGCACAAUGGGCGAAAGCCUGAUGCAGCGACGCCGCGUGAGGGAUGACGGCCUUCGGGUUGUAAACCUCUUUCAGCAGGGAAGAAGCGAAAGUGACGGUACCUGCAGAAGAAGCGCCGGCUAACUACGUGCCAGCAGCCGCGGUAAUAC
rnacentral:rRNA from 1 species